rnacentral:rRNA from 1 species
UACGAAGGUCCCAAGCGUUAUCCGGAAUUACUGGGCGUAAAGCGUGCGCAGGCGGCUUUGCAAGACAGAUGUGAAAUCCCCGGGCUUAACCUGGGAACUGCAUUUGUGACUGCAAGGCUGGAGUGCGGCAGAGGGGGAUGGAAUUCCGCGUGUAGCAGUGAAAUGCGUAGAUAUGCGGAGGAACACCGAUGGCGAAGGCAAUCCCCUGGGCCUGCACUGACGCUCAUGCACGAAAGCGUGGGGAGCAAACAGG